rnacentral:misc_RNA from 1 species
UUCUGACUGCAUUACCGCUGCAAAAAAUGAAGAAGGUAUAACAUUAGUAUCAACUUCUCAGUAAGCAAAAUGUAGAAAAUAAGAAGGAAAGCAUACAUGAGGACAUUUUAAAUUUUGCUAUUUCAGGCAUUUAAAUAAAAAUAAACGAGCAGAAUCAUUCCUAGUCUAUAACUAUGAGAACUUACGGUUGGAAAGAUAAAAAAGUUCCACAAGAUAGCAUCUUGAAUGCAAAAAUCAUCCCAAGGAUAUGCUACAACUGGCAUAAUUUUGGUUCAAGGACAUUAAUAAUUUGACUUCCAAAAGCCCAUAAACAAAGCACAAUGAAAUUCCUCUGAAAUAUCAAAGGUCAAACAUUUCCAUGGACUUAGAAAUUAAAAGAAAAUGAACAACUGGUCCAGUUGCCAUCAAUCAUAUUCUUUGCCCAUUCAAGGUUCAAGCAUAUAAUGGAACUCCUAAUACAUAUCCACCCACAAAUGGAAUUCCAUGAUCUUCGCAACUCUCAUUGUCAAUGUUCUCCCCUCCUUCCUGUCUGUUUUUGCCAGGAUAUAUAUGGCUGAUUUGAAUACUCAUUGAGAAAAGGCACCAAUUUUCACUUGUGUGGGUUUGUGUCAGUAAGAUUUCAUCUUUUGCAUUUGAAUUAUGCUACAAAGACAAAGCCAAGACAACCCAGCCUCCAUACGUCCAUACAAAUGUACACCUAUAUAUGAAAUGUUUGAUAUUAUAUAGAAUUUUAGAAUCCAUCCCAUAUCCUUCCCCUUAAAUGAAAAUUAGUGUCCCCCAAGGAGACCAAAUGAAAGGAGUCACAAUCUCAUUAACAGAGACACAAAUGCAAACCCACAUGGGAAAAACAGUUAAAAAAGAAUCUAAAGAAGAGGAAAUUGACAUGGAAAGAAAAAAAAAAUCCCUAUAAAGACUAGAUUUAAAGCUUUAGUAGAACUGACUAGAUUUCAUAUGAAGGCCUUGCAAUGAUUCACCUUUGUCAAAAUGCAAGCAUGAUGCAAACCAAACUUGUUCGCAUCUCAAGAAGUAAGCCAUAUCAGACAUUUAUAAAAUUUUUUUGGCAUCUUUAAUAUGCAAGUGUUAAAAAAAACUUCAAUAAUUACUUCUGCAGAUUAAGCAAGGCAAAACAUCGAGAUUGACACAACCUGACAUCUGCAAUGCUCAGUACCUACGAACAACACGCACCUCCCAAGUUUGCUGGAUUUGCAG